GUGGCAGCAGCCGCGGUAAAACCAGCACCUCAAGUGGUCAGGAGGAUUAUUGGGCCUAAAGCAUCCGUAGCCUGCUCUGUAAGUUUCCGGUUAAAUCCAUUAGCUCAACUAAUGGCCUGCCGGAAAUACUGUAGAGCUAGGAAGUGGGAGAGGUAGACGGUACUCGGUAGGAAGGGGUAAAAUCCUUUGAUCUAUUGAUGACCACCUGUGGCGAAGGCGGUCUACCAGAACACGUUCGACGGUGAGGGAUGAAAGCUGGGGGAGCAAACCGGAUUAGAUACCCGGGUAGUCCCAGCUGUAAACGAUGCAGACUCGGUGAUGCCCUGGCUUGUGGCCAGUGCAGUGCCGCAGGGAAGCCGUUAAGUUUGCCGCCUGGGAAGUACGUACGCAAGUAUGAAACCUAAAGGAAUUGGCGGGGGAGCACCACAAGGGGUGAAGCCUGCGGUUCAAUUGGAGUCAACGCCAGAAAUCUUACCCGGAGAGACAGCAGAAUGAAGGUCAAGCUGAAGACUUUACCAGACAAGCUGAGAGGUGGUGCAUGGCCGUCGCCAGCUCGUGCCGUGAGAUGUCCUGUUAAGUCAGGUAACGAGCGAGAUCCCUGCCUCUAGUUGCCACCAUUACUCUCAGGAGUAGUGGGGCGAAUUAGCGGGACCGCCACAGUUAAUGUGGAGGAAGGAAGGGGCCACGGCAGGUCAGUAUGCCCCGAAACUCUGGGGCCACACGCGGGCUGCAAUGGUAGUGACAAUGAGUUCCGAAACCGAAAGGUGGAGGUAAUCUUCAAACGCUACCACAGUUAUGAUUGAGGGCUGCAACUCGCCCUCAUGAAUAUGGAAUCCCUAGUAACUGCGUGUCAUUAUCGCGCGGUGAAUACGUCCCUGCUCCUUGCACACACCGCCCGUC
rnacentral:rRNA from 1 species